AAAAAUACAAUAAUUUCAAAAAAGCUCUAAAUAGGAACGAUAUGAUUGAGGAAAAGAUGUGCAUCAAAAUUAAAUGAUCUAAAACUUUUUUUUUUUUUUUUUUUGGGUGAAAGAAAUAUCUAAAACUUUUAAAACAGGAUCUCUUCCCUAUCCACAAGUCCACAUGGCUAAAGGAUUAAAUCCAACAAAUAUACAAACAACACGUCGUUCCAUCCAUAUACAGAGAGAUAGAUAAUGUGUCGUCUUCUAUUAUUAAAAACAACACGGUUUGCAUUAUCUGAUGUUAAAAAU
rnacentral:lncRNA from 1 species